GGAUGGACAUCCUGAGCCCAGCGGCCUCCUGUGACCCGUCCACUGCCGACCCCGAGUGUCUCGCGUGAGAGCUAUGCAAGUGUGGACGGCUGCCAUUAAUAUCAUUCUAUCCAGCAAAGCAACCUCCGGGGGUCUCCUGGCAUCAGAAUGCACGGACCCCAUUGC